GCGACCCCAGGUCAGGCGGGACU
rnacentral:rRNA from 14 species